rnacentral:rRNA from 1 species
GACGAACGCUGGCGGCGUGCUUAACACAUGCAAGUCGAACGGUAAGGCCCUUCGGGGUACACGAGUGGCGAACGGGUGAGUAACACGUGGGUGAUCUGCCCUGCACUUCGGGAUAAGCCUGGGAAACUGGGUCUAAUACCGGAUAGGACCACUGCCUGCAUGGGUGGUGGUGGAAAGCUUUUGCGGUGUGGGAUGGGCCCGCGGCCUAUCAGCGUGUUGGUGGGGUGAUGGCCUACCAAGGCGACGACGGGUAGCCGGCCUGAGAGGGUGACCGGCCACACUGGGACUGGGAUACGGCCCAGACCCCUACGGGAGGCAGCAGUGGGGAAUAUUGCACAAUGGGCGCAAGCCUGAUGCAGCGACGCCGCGUGGGGGAUGACGGCCUUCGGGUUGUAAACCUCUUUCAGCACCGACGAAGCGCAAGUGACGGUAGGUGCAGAAGAAGGACCGGCCAACUACGUGCCAGCCGCCGCAGUAA